GACGAACGCUGGCGGCGUGCUUAACACAUGCAAGUCGAACGGAAAGGCCCUGCUUUUGUGGGUUGCUCGAGUGGCGAACGGGUGAGUAACACGUGAGUAACCUGCCCUUGACUUUGGGAUAACUUCAGGAAACUGGGGCUCAUACCGGAUAGGAGCUCCUGCUGCAUGGUGGGGGUUGGAAAGUUUCGGCGGUUGGGGAUGGACUCGCGGCUUAUCAGCUUGUUGGUGGGGUAGUGGCUUACCAAGGCUUUGACGGGUAGCCGGCCUGAGAGGGUGACCGGCCACAUUGGGACUGAGAUACGGCCCAGACUCCUACGGGAGGCAGCAGUGGGGAAUAUUGCACAAUGGGCGGAAGCCUGAUGCAGAAACGCCGCGUGCGGGAUGACGGCCUUCGGGUUGUAAACCGCUUUCGCCUGUGACGAAGCGUGAGUGACGGUAAUGGGUAAAGAAGCACCGGCUAACUACGUG
rnacentral:rRNA from 1 species